rnacentral:rRNA from 1 species
UUAAAACGACUCUCGGCAAUGGAUAUCUCGGCUCUCGCAUCGAUGAAGAGCGCAGCAAAAUGCGAUACGUGGUGCGAAUUGCAGAAUUCCACGAACCAUCGAGUCUUUGAACGCAAGUUGCGCCUGAGGCCCCAAUCGGCUGAGGGCACGCCUGCCUGCGCGUC